rnacentral:rRNA from 1 species
UAGCAUAUCAAUAAGCGGAGGAAAAGAAACCAACAGGGAUUGCCCCAGUAACGGCGAGUGAAGCGGCAACAGCUCAAAUUUGAAAUCUGGCUCUCGGGCCCGAGUUGUAAUUUGUAGAGGAUGCUUUUGGUGAGGUGCCUUCCGAGUUCCCUGGAACGGGACGCCAUAGAGGGUGAGAGCCCCGUCUGGUUGGACACCGAUCCUCUGUAAAGCUCCUUCGACGAGUCGAGUAGUUUGGGAAUGCUGCUCUAAAUGGGAGGUAUAUGUCUUCUAAAGCUAAAUACCGGCCAGAGACCGAUAGCGCACAAGUAGAGUGAUCGAAAGAUGAAAAGAACUUUGAAAAGAGAGUUAAACAGUACGUGAAAUUGUUGAAAGGGAAGCGCUUGUGACCAGACUUGGGCUUGGUUGAUCAUCCGGGGUUCUCCCCGGUGCACUCUUCCGGCUCAGGCCAGCAUCAGUUCGCCCUGGGGGAUAAAGGCUUCGGGAAUGUGGCUCUCUCCGGGGAGUGUUAUAGCCCGCUGCGUAAUACCCUGUGGCGGACUGAGGUUCGCGCAUUCGCAAGGAUGCUGGCGUAAUGGUCAUCAGUGACCCGUCUUGAAACACGGACCAAGGAGUCGUCUUCGUAUGCGAGUGUUCGGGUGUCAAACCCCUACGCGAAAUGAAAGUGAACGCAGGUGAGAGCUUCGGCGCAUCAUCGACCGAUCCUGAUGUUAUCGGAUGGAUUUGAGUAAGAGCAUACGGGGCCGGACCCGAAAGAAGGUGAACUAUGCCUGUGUAGGGUGAAGCCAGAGGAAACUCUGGUGGAGGCUCGCAGCGGGUUCUGACGUGCAAAUCGAUCGUCAAACAUGGGCAUGGGGGCGAAAGACUAAUCGAACCUUUCUAGUAGCUGGUUUCCGCGAUCU